rnacentral:rRNA from 1 species
CCUACGGGUGGCAGCCGUGGGGAAUAUUGCACAAUGGUGGAAACCCUGAUGCAGCGACGCCGCGUGAGUGAAGAAGUAAUUCGUUACGUAAAGCUCUAUCAGCAGGGAAUAAACACUGACCUUACGGUCCGCAGACGGUACCUGAGUAAGAAGCACAGGCUAACUACGUGCCAUCAGCCGCGGAAAUACGUAGAGGGCACACUUGAUCCGGAUUUACCGGGUGUAAAGGGAGCGUAGACGGUGCGCCAAGUCUGGAGUGAAAUGCCGCAGCUUAACUGGGGAACUGAUUUGGAAACUGGCGAACUAGAGUGCGGGAGGGGUAAGCGGAAGUCCUAGUGUAGCGGUGAAAUGCGUAGAGAUUAGGAGGAACACCGGGGGCGAAGGCGGCUUACUGGACCGUAACUGACGUUGAGGCUCGAAAGCGUGGGGAGCAAACAGGAUUAGAUACCCUUGUAGGC